GAUGAGAUAAAGGCAGGCAGAGAUGGAGCACAGGUUGAGUGCCCUAACCUGGAGAGGAGACUGCUACAUGAGCUCUGCUGGGUGAGUCGGGAGGGAACAAAUCCUGCUCCACCCCAGCCUCCAGCAGGAUUGGAGCUGUGCAUGCACCUGGGAGAGGACUGAGAGAAUAGGAUGGCUCAUGAGCCUGGUCGGUGCAAAUGUGAGAUGGAGAAAGGCUACUAGUGGCAAACAGUUGCAAGAAACAUCUCCGACCAGCUGUGAUUGCUCCAGACUUCAGACAACAAAGGUAUUCCUGUACGUCUUGAUCCUCGGAGGAUGCGCCUGGACCACAGCAUCUGGUGCUGGGCUCCAUUGUCCUGAGGAAUGUACAGAUGCUUUUCCCUUUGAAUAGCUCCUCUGAGACCACAGCAACCUCGAAGCACUGCAGGGCCCCAGAAACAGUGCAGGGUCCCAGCACACUCCCUCCAAGGGAUAAAGGUUUGCUCAUGGGUUCCACUGCCUCUCCAAGGCGUGGAGCAGCAUCUCUAAUGCCUCUCACCCCACCGCUGGGCUGCAGGUGAUGCCACUCCCCAUGUUGCAAACAGGGGUGGGUACACAAGGUUUAACAUCACCACUUCCUUCCCUUACAGAGCACUGCUUGCUCCACAGCAUCCUCUGGGAAGCCUUCAUCUACACUGCACGGUUUCACAGAUGGAGAUAGCCACUUAAUAUAUAUGAUCUGACACUGAAGUGCAGCAUCUUCUGAGGUGGACCCUGAUGGAGCUCAUCCGUAGCUCACGGAGCUACCUCUCCCUGUGAAUGCCAAGAGCCAGGGAUUCCUCCAUUGCACAUCUACACAUUCUCCUCUGGUGAGAGCAAUCAGCAAGAGGCCACCAGCCUUGUUCAUUUGAUACACUGGUCUCACACAAGCCUGCACCACUCCUCAUGCCACACAAGUCUUCCCAGCACUUAGGAUCACUGCAAUACAAUUUGUACUUGGCCACUUUAGUUGCCCAGUGGUCUCCAUGCCAGAACAGCUCUUGGCCCUACAAGCAAUACUCCUGGUGGGUUUGAGCACUCCUCACAGCCAUUUCAGAUCAGUGUGAAAGGACUGUAGUGUAGUUGAAGGUGCUAUUCUCAAACUGAGCUUGGCUGAAGCUUCCACACCUACUGCACUACAGCCCCAGGAGCUCUGCUGAUGGGCUGUUACACUCGUGUGGGCAGAGAGGCUGCAACAUCUACGGCUGGAAGUGUUUUCUUCCAGCUGUUUUAGCGGUGAGAGAUGUGCUCAAACUGUGCAUCCCUCCCAACUCAAGGCUCUUGGCUGUCAGGUCUCUUGAAAAUAGGAAGCAUUUUGCCCAGCUGUAGGUGAAGGUAGCCAUACAGAGUUCAACCAUGAGCAGAAACCACUGAAAAUGAGGACUCCAAACUUCAAACCUGCAAUUCUCUGUCCCAGUAUAACAAGGGUGAUCUCUUUGUGCUUCCAUGAACGCCCAUAAAAGCACACCCACACCCUGAGGACAAGGAUGUUAACAAACACUGGAAUUUACAGCAGCGAUUUAUUCAGAAGAAAGGCUCCAGGUGAAAAGGUUUGAUACUUAAAGAAGAGAGAAAGAAUUCCUCAGAGACACACAGGGAGAACUUGUGAGUCAAUGUAUGCUCUUGAAACAUCAGCACAAGCAGAAACAGUUUUCCAACAAGAAUAGGUUUCAGCUCAGCUCCACAAUCUCAUUGUUUGGAAGCAUUCAGAUCCACUUCUUAAACUUUGUUUAAAAUGUGUCUUUUUGAAGCCUUUGGGGAGCUAAGAGUCUUUUUAUGGCAAGUUCUUCUCGCCAUUGAAAUCCACCAGUGUCAUGGGGUGGCCUGGUGGUAGCUAACAAAGAACAGAUGAUCCCUUGGGGAAGAGAACACUUAAACCCCCAAAAGAAACAAUUCAGAACAAAUCCAUGUGGCAGUAAGAAAGCUGAGAAUAUUCCUUCCCAGGUCAACUGGUCAUAUACAAGCUCCUAGAGGAUACUUAAUUUGGGACUAACCCCCCCACUCCCCACAAGUUUCCAGCUCCUUCCAUGUGUUGGAACCUCCCACCAAGAUGACCAAUGCAUGUCACCCGUGCA